AACGAACGCUGGCGGCAUGCCUAACACAUGCAAGUCGAACGAGACCUUCGGGUCUUGUGGCGCACGGGUGCGUAACGCGUGGGAACCUGCCCUUAGGUUCGGAAUAACUCCCCGAAAGGGGUGCUAAUACCGGAUAAUGUCUUCGGCCCAAAGAUUUAUCGCCUUUGGUUGGGCCCGCGUUGGAUUAGCUAGUUGGUAGGGUAAAAGCCUACCAAGGCGACGAUCCAUAGCUGGUCUGAGAGGAUGAUCAGCCACACUGGGACUGAGACACGGCCCAGACUCCUACGGGAGGCAGCAGUGGGGAAUAUUGGACAAUGGGCGAAAGCCUGAACCAGCAAUGCCGGGUGAGUGAUGAAGGCCUUAGGGUUGUAAAGCUCUUUUACCCGGGAUGAUAAUGACAGUACCGGGAGAAUAAGCUCCGGCUAACUCCGUG
rnacentral:rRNA from 1 species